rnacentral:rRNA from 1 species
CCCUUAGAUGUUCUGGGCCGCACGCGUGCUACACUGAGUAAAUCAAUGGGUAAGGGAACACGAAAGUGCAACCUAAUCUUGAAAUUUGCUCGUGAUGGGGAUCGACGGUUGCAAUUUUCCGUCGUGAACGAGGAAUACCUUGUAGGCGCGUGUCAUCAUCACGCGCCGAAUACGUUCCUGCCCUUUGUACACACCGCCCGUCGCUCCUACCGAUUGAGUGAUCCGGUGAGGCUCUGGGACCUGGACGGAAAGAGCGUUUCGCUUGUUCUGUUUGGGAAACUUGGUCGAACCUUAUCAUUUAGAGGAAGGAGAAGUCGUAACA